rnacentral:rRNA from 1 species
CCUACGGGAGGCAGCAGUGGGGGAUAUUGCACAAUGGGGGAAACCCUGAUGCAGCGACGCCGCGUGGGUGAAGAAGCGCCUCGGCGCGUAAAGCCCUGUCAGCAGGGAAGAAAAUGACGGUACCUGAAGAAGAAGCCCCGGCUAACUACGUGCCAGCAGCCGCGGUAAUACGUAGGGGGCAAGCGUUCUCCGGAUUUACUGGGUGUAAAGGGGGCGCAGACGGCGAUGCAAGCCAGGAGUGAAAGCCCGGGGCCCAACCCCGGGACUGCUCUGGGAACUGCGUGGCUAGAGUGCAGGAGGGGAAGGCGGAAUUCCUGGUGUAGCGGUGAAAUGCGUAGAUAUCAGGAGGAACACCGGUGGCGAAGGCGGCCUGCUGGACUGCAACUGACGUUGAGGCCCGAAAGCGUGGGGAGCAAACAGGAUUAGAUACCCGAGUAGUC